rnacentral:rRNA from 1 species
UACAGAGGUCCCAAGCGUUGUUCGGAGUUCAAUUGGGCGUAAAGGGUGCGUAGGUGGCGCCGUAAGUCGAGGUGUGAAAUCUCGGGGCUUAACUCCGAAACUGCAUUUGAUACUGCGGUGCUUGAGGACUGGAGAGGAGACUGGAAUUUACGGUGUAGCAGUGAAAUGCGUAGAGAUCGUAAGGAAGACCAGUGGCGAAGGCGGGUCUCUGGACAGUUCCUGACACUGAGGCACGGAAGGCCAGGGGAGCAAACGGG